rnacentral:rRNA from 1 species
UCGAACGGCAGCACRGCAGUAGCAAUACUGUGGGUGGCGAGUGGCGGACGGGUGAGGAAUACAUCGGAAUCUACCUUUUCGUGGGGGAUAACGUAGGGAAACUUACGCUAAUACCGCAUACGACCUUAGGGUGAAAGYRGRGGAYCGCAAGRCCUUACGCGGAUAGAUGAGCCGAUGUCGGAUUAGCUAGUUGGCGGGGUAAAGGCCCACCAAGGCUACGAUCCGUAGCUGGUCUGAGAGGAUGAUCAGCCACACUGGAACUGAGACACGGUCCAGACUCCUACGGGAGGCAGCAGUGGGGAAUAUUGGACAAUGGGCGCAAGCCUGAUCCAGCCAUACCGCGUGGGUGAAGAAGGCCUUCGGGUUGUAAAGCCCUUUUGUUGGGAAAGAAAUCCUGCCGGCUAAUACCCGGUAGGGAUGACGGUACCCAAAGAAUAAGCACCGGCUAACUUCGUGCCAGCAGCCGCGGUAAUACGAAGGGUGCAAGCGUUACUCGGAAUUACUGGGCGUAAAGCGUGCGUAGGUGGUUCGUUAAGUCUGAUGUGAAAGCCCUGGGCUCAACCUGGGAAUUGCACUGGAUACUGGCGGGCUAGAGUGCGGUAGAGGAUGGCGGAAUUCCCGGUGUAGCAGUGAAAUGCGUAGAGAUCGGGAGGAACAUCUGUGGCGAAGGCGGCCAUCUGGACCAGCACUGACACUGAGGCACGAAGCGUGGGAGCAACAGGAUAGAUCCCUGGUAGUCMCGCCUAACAUGCGACUGAUGUGGAGCACUUGCUCUAUUCGAACUACCCGUAGUCGC